GGAAUUGAAGGAAUCAAGAAGAGGAAUCACAAAGCUGUCGGUGAGAUGGGGUAGAUGUUGGCAAAAGCGUGGGGAACCUAUCUUGGGUCUCCUCCGGAGUUGUGUUCAAGCAUGAUCAUGGUUGGGUUCCCUGCUAGUUUGGGUAUUUCUAGUGAUUCUAUUGCUUUAAAGUUGAGUACCCACUUGAGGAAUAAUUUUUCUGUUAACGUACGUAUCUAUUAUAGGGCACCGGCUGAUGGGGUGAUUAACCAUGUUACAGGAUAUGCUUAAAUUUCUCAUUAUGUUUAAAACCGGAUGAUUACUACAAGUUCAGAGAUGCAGUUAACCAACUUGUUAAUGAUAAGUUCACCUCUGCACUUCUCUUCUAGGAAAGAGGUAUGUUUUAGAUCAUUGAAUAUAACAAUGUUAGCUAUUUUAGCUUGGAUAUAUUUUUGUAUGCCUGUUGUUUUUUGGUAAUUCGUUUCUCUUGGAUACCUGCAUUAUGAGGCAGCAACCUACGAUGAAUGUAAAAACUAUGUAGCGUUAUUAUUUUUGAGGAUAGUGACUGGUAACAAAAUCCCCUUCUGACCGUGUGAGAAGGGUUCAAAUGCCAGAUUCCUUGUAACAACUGAAGAAAUCUUACUACGUUUAACUAGUUGGCACCCACAUACUUUGUAUUGUUUCUUCUUAAUAUGGGAAAAGGGUACGAAGCAUAGGUUUGAGAUGUAUAUAAUUAUGCUGCUGACCUCUUAGCAUUCAUGAAGGUCAGUGAUCAUGUUUAAAAAAUGCUAGCAGCAAAUUUUACUCAUUUCUUCUUAGGUAGCUUAUUUGCAAAUGCAGCCUUUAGUUGUAGGUUAUCUUUGGAAGUGUUCGCAAGUCUUUGUGCUUCCUCGUUCUUCGCUAGUUCUAUGCUGUGAUUCAGUGAUUUGGAACCUUCUUCCCUCAAAUUUAUUGUCGAUAGUGCUUGUCCAUUUUGUUAAUCACAUUUAUACUGUGGAAAGUGAAGCCCUUGUCAUAAAGCAUGCACAAGUUGAGACAUAUAUAAACUUCUAAUAGUAUCUUUUCAUUUACUGAUCAGAUUUACUGACGGUCAAUCCCGAAGACGUACUGUACGUGCAAAGAUCAGGCCAUCAGAGACUUUAUGAGCAAUUAGCAAUAUUGUUGCUUUCAUUGAUUUGGAACCAAUAACGAGGAUAAAUUACUAUUUCAGAUGUGAGCAGCCUAUGUCAGUAAGAUUUUAUUGGCAAAAUUGUGGGCACUUUCUUUGGUUCAGAGCAUUAUUAUUGUUCUGUGUUGGCACGGAAGUUCCAGGUCUAUUGUCAAACAAUUUUUAUCAAAUUUCAUAGAAAUUUCUUCAAUAAAGAAGAUAAUGAUUCUGUGAUCCAACCUUUUGCAGUACUUGUGAAUCUAUUUUAUCAUAAGUUGUUUCUUACCUAUAUACUCAUCUGCAAUGGCAGGCAGUAGCAAUCUUCCGCGUAAGUACGAAUAAGGGCAAUUUGUCUCUCCCUGGAAGGCAUAAGUGGCCUCCUUUGACAUGGUUUCGGUGCCAUUAACACCCUAAAUGAGUAGAGAAACAAACUGCAGAAUGCGUAUAAAUGUAUAUGCAUAUAUAAUACUAUAAUGUAAUGGUUCAGAGAAAUAAGAAGCGCAGAAAGGUUUUUCUUUUGCUUCUUUGUUUGGGCUCCGUGAGAGCUAUUCGUGUACAUGUUCAAAUUUCAAAUUUCCAUUAUCGGAGGCACUUGAUGGGAUAAUAUUAAUGUCACAGAACAAGCGAUUAUUAUUAUUUAUUAAUAAAAGGACUCUAUGCUUGUAACUUUUAGAAUUAAGAUUCUUGCUAAUCUUAGCAUAUCUAAUCUUCCUUUAGUGAUUUGAUUUUGAUCCCCGUGUAAUUUUUAUUUACGUGCGGUCAAGUUUUAUUUGUUUAUUUUCAUUUUUUAAUAAACCUUAAUAAAGCCUUUCAAUAUGGCUCUAGAUACAUUUUUAUUUUUAGUUCAUAUACUAUAAGAACUCUUAAAACACAUAGCCAACUUGAGCUUACUCCUUGAAAGACUAAUUUUAAAAAGGGAGUGUUUUGCAAACAUUUUAAAUCUGGUUGCUAAGAGUAAGUUCGGAUUGCUGUCAGUAUGGAAAUGCUGAGAUGCCAUUCUUCAACUGUAGUAAUUUAUUAUUUUAAGGCGAUAUAUUAUAUGCACUUAAGCAGUAAAAGAUAAGUCAAUCAGUAUGAUUAGUCGAGCAUGUCGAUUGGAGCAAAAGUCAGCUAUAGCAGGGCUUAAUCUCUGAUAAAACCUUAAAUAUUGAUUUCUUUAUUGUUAAAGUUGAAAAAUCAACAAUAACAAGAGAACUCAUUAUCAGCUAUAGCAAAAAGUCUUUAGGAGAUGAGAGUGGGAUUCCUUUUCAAAAGUUUAGGGAUGCUUGAGUCAACAAUGUCAUAUUACAAAAAUGUCAAGAGUCAAAGCACCUAUAAUAUGAAAAAAAAAAAAAAAUUGUAGCUUCUCUAAUCUUUCCCACCAACAUUUUAAAUUCGUCUAAGCUUAUUCACCUAUUGACUUCUAAUGUAUUAUAAUCCUUCAAUUAACGCCUCUAAAUUCUAAUCAACUUAACCUCACGGAAACUGCUCAAGGGUGAAGCUCUCAGAACUCUGAGAACAUGACCAACUUGAGCUUACUUCUUGCAACACUACUCUUGAGUUUCAGUAUAUUGAAAAGCACUUGUCUUUGUUGCCCCCAAUAUCAGAAAGCGGCCCUGUUGGAGUUCAAAAGUCUAGUACUUGGAGACUUAGCAGACAAUAGUUCUGCUGACAAGAUGCUUGGAGGCUUGGAUACAUGGAAUUCAAGUUCGGAUUGCUGCCAUUGGGAAAUGGUGAGAUGCUUUUCUCGUGGAUCAUCAAAAGAGGUGACUGGCCUCAAUCUUAGCAAUCUUUUCCCAUUGGACUCCAAUGUGACGUCAGAUGUUUUGAAGCCAAUUUUUCGAAUAAGAAGCCUCAUGACGCUUGAUCUGUCCUACAAUUCAAUGAAAGGUGAAAUUCCCAGAACUGGUUUUGCGAAUUUAACCAAACUUGUAUAUCUUGACUUGAACAAUAACAACCUCAAUGGUUCCAUUCCAAGUCAGUUAUUCAGUUUGAGAUAUCUAGAGUUUCUUGAUCUCAGUACUAACGCCAUUGGGGGGAAAUUAAGUAGCAGUGUUGCAGGCCUCAAAAACUUGGAGCAGUUGAUCCUGAAUGGAAAUUUGAUCCAAGGACAGAUUCCUGCCGAGAUCGGAAACCUCACAAAUUUGCACAAGCUGUUGCUUCUCCAGAACGAAUUCUCUGGAGGAAUACCAUUGUCAUUGCUGCAACUGCGAGAGCUCGAAACAUUAGACCUGCGAAGGAAUUCGCUAUCUGGGGAGAUUCCAAAUGAUAUAGGGAUCUUGGCGAACAUGACAACUCUGGCCUUAAGCAACAAUGCUUUGACUGGUGCAAUUCCACAGUCAAUUCGAGACAUGAUCAAAUUGGUAACACUCAGAUUGGAUAGUAACGUUCUCGCUGGUGAGAUUCCAACUUGGUUAUUUGAUCUUCAUGAUAUGAAGAGCUUGUUUCUGGGAGGAAAUAAACUUAAAUGGAACAACAAUGUCAGCAUUGUUCCCAAAUGUAUGUUGACUGAAUUAUCAUUAAGAUCUUGCAGUGUUAGAGGGCCAAUGCCUCUCUGGCUUUCCAAUCAAACAGAGCUUGCAUUCUUGGACUUAAGUGAGAAUGAGCUCGAAGGAACUUACCCACAGUGGCUGGCUGAGCCAAAUCUUGGAACAGUUAUUUUAUCAGACAACAUGUUGACAGGUUCUCUGCCUCCUCGUUUGUUCGAAUCUCGAAAUUUAUCAGUCCUUGUUCUGUCAAGAAACAACUUUUCUGGUGAAUUGCCUGAAACCAUGGGUCAAAGCACUUCAGUCAUGGUACUUAUGCUGUCCAGUAACAACUUUUCUGGGCAUGUGCCAAAAUCUAUCUCCAAUAUGUAUCGAUUGUUGGUACUGGACUUGUCAGAUAACGGCUUUUCUGGGGAGUUUCCAUCUUUUGGUUCGAAUUCACUUACGGCAUGUAUUGAUAUAUCUUCCAAUAGAUUCUCUGGUGAGGUUCCUUCAGCUUUUGGGGAAACCACAUUUAUGCUGUCAUUGAGUGAAAACAAUUUCUCUGGGCAAUUGCCUCCGAAUCUAAGUAAGCUGAACCUGCUUAAACACCUUGAUCUUCAUGACACCAAUCUUACCGGUGAGUUUCCAGCAUUCCUCUCUCAGAUGUCUUCUCUUCAAGUACUUAAUCUCCGAAACACUGCCCUCAAAGGAUCAAUCACCGAUGGCCUGUCAAAUCUCACUAGUCUACGUAUCCUGGAUCUCUCCAACAACAACUUUGAAGGAAAAAUCCCAUCAAGCUUCGGAAACCUUGCGGGAAUGAUUGAUACUCCUAUUAUCUCAUCACGACUGCCAGAAACGCUCAUGUUUCCUAUUGAAAUUUUCAACGUUUCUGUUGAAAUCCAAGAUUUGAUCGUCAACUGGAAGAAUUCCAAACAAAGACUCUCUGGCAAAAGCCUGGCAAUCUAUUCUCUCCUGGACUUGUCUAACAACCAGUUAUCUGGUGAAAUUCCAUCAUCUCUAGGCAGUCUCAAAGGUCUGAAGUCACUUAACCUGUCUUACAACGAACUCCAGGGUAACAUUCCCUCAACUUUCGGCACCCUGGAGAUUUUGGAGGCCCUGGAUUUGUCACACAAUAGCCUGUCUGGAAAAAUCCCACAAACUUUUGCCAACCUCAAGCAACUGACCUCAUUAUACUUGAGCAACAACAAGCUCUCGGGUCGUAUUCCUGAGGGCCCUCAAAUGGACAGCCAGAUUGAUCCAGUCAUAUAUGCAAACAACAGUGGCUUGUGUGGGGUGUAGAUCCGGCUUGUUUGUCCUGAAGAUGUGGAACCACCACCUGAUUCAGUGCCAGAGGAGAUGGAGAAAGAAGAAACAGGAAUGUUUUCAUGGAAAGCCACGGCCAUCGGGUAUCCUGUUGGAUUCUUAUAUGCAACUGCAGUAAUGUAUGUGAUUGGUUACUUUAAUUCUGUACCAAAAUCUUCAGUUCCGUGGGCUAAGUCGUCAAGAAACAAGAAGUUCUGGGAAUUAUAGAGCCUGGACCUAAAGAGAUUAAUCAAUGUGCAUGUCAGUAUGGUCUAAUUAUACAGAGCAGAAAACUGUGUACACUUGCAAUGCAAGCAAUCUUGUCAUGUGAAGAUGCGAGCUUAACGCCUAGUCACAUGUUGGGAUUAAAUAAAUGCAGUUUUGCUCUCUUCUAAGGAGUUUUAGUGUUUUUCAAAUAAAGCAUAUAAUAACUAUGGAAAAGGUAGUUUUCAGACGAACAAAAUUCUGAUGCAUCUAUCAUUAGAUGUUUAAUAUCUUUUGUAAUAUAACGUGGAAAUAAUUAAUUUUAGAUUAUAUUUUGAAAUAAUACAUUUUAUAAAAUAUUUCAUGAGAUGUUGAAUAAAUUACAUGAGAUGAUUAAGGUAAAAAUGUGAGCUCUUUAUUCUAAAAUGGCGGUAUACAUCAGUGAGUUAGGGGUAUCAAAUUUAGCAAAUUUAACAAAAACGAUCCCAUCAGUGACUCCAGAAACCCAGAAUUACAUAAACCUAUAUAUAGAAUUUGAAAUAAGAUCAAAAUUGCACCAAAAAAUAAUUGGAAAGUAGAAAUUAUGUACUUGAAAAAAAGAAAAAAGAGAAAAAAAAUUAUAUACCCUUGUUGUGUAGCUGAUAAUGACCAUAAAAUUGCAUAGCUCCAUUGGGUACUCCAAACAGCCACAGCAAGCUUAUUUCUUUAGAUUUCUGGCACCUCCUCCUGGUUUUGAGCAGCGUUAGCCAUUGACAAGCACAAACAUCAGUAAAUUCAACUUAGAUAACCAGAAAGAAAGCCCCAUCAACAAGUAAAUUGGUCAACAAGCAAAACCUUCACUGAAAAGAAACUCCAAUAAUAUCCUGUCAACAAAUUUUGGUUCUACAAAAUAUCACACAUUGAGUUCAGUAACAUGCAGCUACAAGGUCCUUAUGGCGAAAUACCAUCACUGAAAAAAUCUUUAAGAGACUGAAAUUUUAGAUUGGUAGUACCAUCGAAUACUCAAACAAAACUAAUGCGCAAUUUCUGCUCUAGAGUGCUUGAAAUAUGCAUUUUGGUUUGUAGCGAUUAUGUUUGUAUGAGCUGGUAAUUUUUAAAUGUUUGGAUCUCGACCUGUUCUAUCAUCUGACAGAGAGUAGUUAAUAAAUGACUAGUAAUGCAUAUGCAAAAAAGCUUAUUCGGCACUGUCUGUAUGUAUGUAUAAUACUAUAGUGUAAUAAUGUGUCAGAGAAAUAAUUAGAAGAGCAGAAAGAGUUUUCUUUUGAUUGUUUUUUUGGCUCCACGAGAGCUAUUCCUGUACAUGUUCAAAUUUCCAUCCUCAGAGGCAAACUAAUGGGAUCAUGUCACAGAACAAGCAAGUGAUUAUUAUUAAUAAAGGGACUCUGUGUUUGUAACUCUUGGGAUUACGACUCUCCCCAAAUAUUAGCUUAUCUACUUUUAUUUUAAUGAUUUGAUUCUGACCCUCAUAUAAUUUUUAUUUAUGUAGGAUCAAAGAUUCAUGGGAAAUUUACAAAAAUAGCCAUAAAAUUUUAGCGUUUUUUAAUUUUAACCCCCCAAAGUUUUUUCUAUCAUAACUAGCCAAAUACCCUAUUUUUGGACUACAUUACCCUCAUCACUUUCAUCAAAUUUACAAAGGCAUGCCACUUUUUCCUUUUCAAUUCCAGCACUAUUAAACCUUAGCUCAACAACUUUUAAUCUAUUGAUUUUAUCAUUUGAGUUCGAAAUUGAAGUGAGUUUUUAUUGCAAACGUUGUUAUUUUUCAUUAACAAAACAAUGUGACUUGUUAAAGUAGUUAGCUUGAGUUGAGAAAUGAAGAUUAAUCAUUGAAACUCCUGAAAAAUCGAGCAAAACAUAAGCCCAGAACAAGUGAGACAGGCGCCUGUCUCACAUAAAACCAGCAGGUUUAUGUGAGACAGGCACCUGUCCCACUUGCCUAUCUCACCAAAAUAUGUGCGACAGGCAAGUGGGACAGGCGCUUGUCGCACAUAUAAAGCCAUUGGUUUUAUGUGAGACAGGCGCCUGUCUCACUUGUUCACACUGGUUUUAUGUGAGACAUGCAAGUGGGACAGGUGCCUGUCGCACAUAAAAACCCAUUGGUUUUAUGUGAGACAGGCACCUGUCCCACUGCAUGUCUCACUAAAUAUCAGUUAUUUUUCGAAAGUAAUAACUUGGGCUACAUGUGUUCGUUUUAGGCGUAUAAUAUAUCGUUUUGAAGCUUACGAUGAGACGAAACAAAUCCAAAAUUGUAUACUUCAUUUCAUCCACAUAAAUGUACUGCAUAUUCACUUUACUAGGUUUUGUAGCGUGAAAUCUUAUCUCUUUUGUUUUUUUUUUUUAUAAUUUUUAGGUUUAAUGGAUUCCGUUGUACUUCAAUUAUUUAAAGGUUUAAGUACUUUUGGCAUCUUAUCUUGAAUAACUCAGCAUUCGUGUUAAGAAAUCCAAAAAAUCUCAAGAACUAAUUUUAUUUCAAAUUAGGAAGCAAGAAAUUGCAUAUAUCAAUUUUCUCCAAUAGGAAUAAUAAAAUAAAAUAAAACAACUAAUCUUUGAAGGGAUGUGUAUAUAGCAUCAUAAAAAUAGAACGUAGACUGUAAAUUAUAUGAUAUUGAUAAUACACAAACACAGUACAAUAUAGAUAUUGCAAAACUUAAGGUUUGGACUUGUGCACAUCAUAAAAUGGAUUACCAAAAUCCACAUUGUAUUGCAUAUAUUGCUCUUUGAAGUCCAAGUUUUAGCUGUCAAACCAACCAGUUCAGGGGAUUCUGAAUAUAAAUAUUCAGCUAGCAUAACAUGAAGCUCCGGGGACCUAGUUUUAGGAGCUCCAAACUCUAUAGACCACCUGCAAAACAAAAGAACUAUAAGUUGAGAGCAGUUACUUCCAUGCUUAAGAAAUCACAACAUCCACCAAAAGCAAAAAGUCCAAUAAUACAAUGAGGCAAUGAUUUCUCACUUAAUAGCAGCCUUUAAGAAUGAUGAGCAGCCCUCUACACGCAAUUUUGCUGCACCAAGCACCAAGCGCGCUGUCUCUUGGUGCGACAUGCACCAAGAGGCAACACCAAAAUCGCUCGAGUUGCGCGCAGGCUGGCACGCAGCUCGCGCGAGCAGGCUGGCACACGCAUUUCGCGCGCGGCACGCGCAUCUUGCGUACGCGAGGCCACGCAUGUCGCACGCAAAAUGCGUGCGACAGGCUCAUCCCGCGCGCGCGGAUGGGCAUGUCCUGCGCAUCUCGCAUGCGACAGCCGCGGCCUCGCGCGCGGGAUGCAGCAUGGCCUUCCCUUUCACUUCCCUUUCCCUUCCCUUUCUCUUCCCUUCCCUUUCCCACAUGCAUCUCACCCACCACCGCCAUUAAACACCAACAACAGCCCAAACAACAACAGCAACAACAGCCCAAACAACAACAACAACAACAACUCACCUAGGGUUUCCAAUUUUUUUCUUUGAUUUUGGAGAUCUCCGAAGAUUUUCAACGUGAUUUAGCUUGUUUCAGCCGCCGACAACUUCCUCCACUGCCGAUCUACGCUGCCGAUGAUGUAUACGAGAUUCCGGUGAUGAGAUUUUGGUGAGAGGGGGAGGAAUUUCGCUUGAGAGAAACGUGAGAAUGAUGAGGGUAAUUUCGUCCACAAUUUGGUGAUUUGGCUAAUGUUGAAAGAAAAAAGUUUGAGGGGUUAAAGUUGAAAAAUGCCUAAUUUUUUUGGCUUGUUUUGUAAAUUUCCCAAGAUUCAUUCAUUUUUUUUUAGUAAACAUUAACAUAGCCUUUCAAGAAUUGAGUGGUUAAGGUCAAAAUCGUAAAAGCGCUAGAAAUUCCAAAAACUAACUAUGUAUUUUAGGCAAUACACAACUUUAAAUAUUUUCAUUAAUAUUUUAGGUCAUACAUUUAUUUCCAUGAAAUUUUUAAGGUACAUUAUCAUGCACCAUACAUUAAUCUCACAAUUGUUAUUAACAGCGCAAAACUAACUACUUGUAUGUUUUGUAAAAUUAAUUAUAAAGUUAAUGUACGUUACAUGAUAAUGUAAAUACCGACGUAGUACCCUUUAUGAAAAAAGAUUUUUGGAAUCCUAUAAAUGUUGACGGUUGAUAGGACUAUGAGAGACCCCGCGUAGUGAAAUGUGUACAUGAUUAUUAACACAUGGCUUCAAUUAUCUUAAUUUUUUGACUUUGUACAAGAAAAAAGUUCUUUUCUUUGCCUUUUUAAAAGAGAGUUUAUCUAAUGGGCCUACAAAUUCAAAAGGGCUCCACCAACCUCUCCUUCUACAGUACUUUUUUCUCUGAAAAAAGUGCAAAGAAUGGAAGCAUACGGAAGCCUUUAUGGCUUCUUUUAAUCACCUAUUAACUGGGUGCUUCUGUUUUCUUUUCCCUUCUUCUCCUUUCUAUUCUUUUUCUGUCUUUAUUUUGAUUGCAUUGUCCUUAAGUAUCACAACUACCUUGCUAGAGCUUGUAAAGUAAUCAUCGCAGAACGGUUGGUGGGGUUAUUACUGUUGGGAGGGAAAGACUUGUGAGGAAUGGAUACAAAAGAAUUAGUCAGAAAGUGUCAAGCUAUUGUCCUGAAGGAAGAAGAGGAAGACACAAUAACAGUCAUGGGCAAGCUGCGGGAAGCGGGCGAGGAAAUUGCAGCAAAUUGCAUAGUGGGGAAGAUAUUACUAAUGAGAGGAGUAAAUAGGGAAGGAUUGAGAGCCGCAAUGCAACAAGCUUGGAGAACAGUAAAGGAGGUCAAGAUAGAAAGCAUGGGGGAGAAUAUUUUUUUGUUCAAAUUUGCAUCGGAAGGAGAAAAGAAGAGAGUCCUCAUGGGGGGGCCAUGGCACUUUGAUAGAGCUUUAUUGGUGUUAUCCGAGCUUACUGGCAUAGGGGACAUAAAAGAGCAGUCUUUCACACAUACAUCUUUCUGGGUACAAAUCCACAAUAUACCUAUAAUGUGUAUGGUGCGAGAGAUUAUUCAAAAGCUAGGAGAGAAAAUCGGAGAGGUGGAAGAAAUUGAAACAGAUGCAACAGGGGAGUGCAUAGGCCAAUUUGCUCGAAUAAGAAUCUCCAUUAACAUAACACAACCUCUAAAAAAAGUGGUAUUCUUGCAAGAGGCUGGAGCCAAAAUACCAAUGCCUGUCCUGUAUGAGAAGCUUCCAGAAUUUUACUUUUCUUGUGCAAAGAUUGGCCACCAAUAUAGAGAAUGUUUGAAGUACAAAGGUCAGCCAAAGGAGAAUCUGCCAUAUGGGGGAUGGAUGCGAGCAAUAACACCAACAGAGAGGAUGAAACUAGCUCGAACCAGAGGAAAGGGGCACUAGAGAGCACCCUCAAUCGAAGACAAGUGAAGCAGAUGCUACUACAAGUCAAACUCAACACAACCCAACAGAACUAAACGGGCCAAACCAAAGAAACACGGGUAAAGAGAUGGGGGAUGAGAUGCAACCAAUGGUCACAAAUCAGGAGUCACAAGAGGGGAAUGCAGCUUUAAUUCUGAGUACAGCAGAGCCGGAUAAUCAGCAAUCAGAAAAUGAAAAUACAAGCAGAGAAAUCAAGAAGCAGCACGCUAAGGUGGCUGACAAUGACAGCCAGUCGAAAAGCAAAGUCAUAGGCACGGGAAAGAAAAAUUGGAGGGAAAUGGAAGUGAGGGGAACAGACACAAAAAGGGGGAAUGAUGAGGAAGAGGUUGAUAAUGGGCUGAGCAAUGCAAAAGAGAAGCCCAAAAUCAGAAAAUGGAAAUUACAAGCUAGAAGCUCAAGGAUAGAAAGAGGAAAAGACAAGGGGCCUAUCAAUUCCAAAAGGCCUAGUAGCGAGCUAACUUGGUCGAGCCCUGAAAACAAAAAGAAAAGAAAGCUUAGCCCAUCAAAAGCACCACUCAACUUAAAGCAGCUUAACUCCUCUCAAGCAAAACUUCAGCUGAAGUCUAUAGACACAGAGCAAGAUGAAACUGUGGAUGCAACAACAAUGGUGGAAGACGUAUUGGCGGGAGCUGGCAGCCAGCCCCGCCAGCAGCAAUGAGGGUCUUAAGUUGGAACGUCCGAGGUCUGGGGAAGCCUCGAACGUGUCUAGCCAUCAAAAAAAUUCUCCACCUGCAUCGGCCUCAAAUUUUUUUCUGUUGCGAAACAAAGAUGACAGCCCAACAGGUUUAUUCGAUAUGCAAUAAAUUUAAUUUUGAGAAUCGCUUUGCGGUAGAUAGAAUGGGUAUGGGAGGUGGUUUAGCUUUGUUUUGGAGUUCGGGAGUGAAUGUCAGUAUAAAGUCUUUCAGUUCUCAUCAUAUAGAUGCAGUGGUGCAGAACCCAGGUGGUAAAAUGUGGAGAUGUACGGGAAUUUACGGCCAUCCAGAAGCUGGUCAGAAACAGCACACGUGGUGUUUACUGAAAAGGUUAGCAGACAUAUCUCCUUAUCCUUGGUGUUGCUUUGGUGACUUCAAUGAAAUCCUUUAUUUACAUGAGAAAUCGGGGGGCAAUGGUAGAAAUCUCAAUGUAGUAGCUGACUUUAGAGAAACCAUUCAGGCAUGUAAUUUGGUAGACAUGGGUCAUAAGGGUUACCAAUUCACAUGGUCGAAUAGGAGGUUCGGGACAGGCUAUGUAAAAGAAAGGUUGGAUAGAUUUCUCUGUAGCAAAGAUUGGAGCAAAAGUUUCCAGAACCUUCCGGCAUCACAUUUGGUAAAUUGGGUCUCAGAUCACUGCCCAAUCAUGCUGGAUAUUAAAGAGAGAAGCAAGGAGAUAAAUUACAAGAGAAGAUCUUUUCCGAGGGACCAUUACGAAGACAUGUGGAGCUCAUAUGAGAAAUGUCAAAAUAUAGUGCAAGAAGAAUGGGAAACUUGUGGGGUCAGAAGGUGGGAGAAUCCGGUGAACAAUUUUCAGAGGGCGGCAAAAAACUCUCUAUCUCAGCUCAAGAUAUGGAGCAAGGUAGAGUUUGAUGGCAGAAAAAAGAAGCAAGAGGAUUUGAUUGAGAAACUGCAGAAUGCAAAGCAGAAUAUGGAUCAGUAUGUAGAUGGUGGAGAAAUCAGAAAGCUUGAAAAGCAAAUCAACAACAUGCUGAUUGAUGAAGAAGUGUACUGGCGUCAAAGAUCGAGAGCAGACUGGCUCAGGGAAGGAGACAAAAACACAAAGUUUUUUCACUCCAAAGCCUCGGCUAGGAGAAGAAAAAACAAAAUAUGGGGUAUAGAGGACACCCAUGGGAACUAGACAGAUGAUACAGAAAAAGUUGAAAAGGAAUUUUGCGAUUACUUCCAGCAGCUCUUUACUUCCUCCAGGCCAAGCCACAGUCAGACUCAAGAAGCCCUUAAAGGAAUGCCCCCAAAGAUAACUCCGGAAAUGCACACUCAUCUGGAGGAACCCUUCACACCAGAAGAAAUUGUAAAUGCACUAUCUCAAAUGUGUCCUACAAAAGCUCCCGGACCGGAUGGCUUACCUGCAGCAUUUUUCCAAAAACAUUGGCAGGCUGUGGGCAGAGGGGUAGUCACAACAUGCUUACACAUUCUCAACGAGCAAGGUGAUUUAGCUUCGCUCAACCAUACGUAUAUUGCUCUAGUACCUAAGACUGAGAAAUCAAAGAAAGUUACUGAUUUUAGGCCUAUUAGUCUAUGCAAUGUGGUGUAUAGAAUCAUAGCUAAGGCAAUAGCGAACAUGCUGAAACUAAUUCUUCCCCAAAUCAUAUCCCCAACUCAGAGCGCAUUCAUUCCCAAUAGACUCAUUACAGACAAUGUGAUUAUUGGUUAUGAAUGCCUCCACAAGAUUAGACAUAGCAAAGGGAGAAGAAAUGGGUUAGUGGCUCUAAAAUUGGAUAUUAGUAAGGCGUAUGACAGAGUCGAGUGGAGCUUUCUAGAUCAAAUCAUGGAAAAAUUUGGUUUCUCGAAUAAAUGGAGGAGUCUAAUCAUUAGUUGCAUAACCACUGCUCAAUUUUCAGUCAUUAUUAACGGGACCCCCAAAGGCGUAAUCCUUCCGGAAAGGGGUCUAAGGCAAGGCUGCCCCCUCUCCCCGUAUCUUUUCAUCAUGUGUGCAGAGGCCUUUUCAAAUUUAUUGAUCCAGGCUGAGAGGAAGCAGCAGAUUAGAGGGCUGAGAUUUGCAAAGGAAGUUACGAUAUCCCAUCUUAUUUUCGCUGAUGACAGCUUAGUCUUUACCAGAGCCUCAGAAGCAGAGUGUAAGAACUUAAAAGGGAUUUUCGAUUGCUAUGCGAAGGCAUUAGGGCAGAUUUUUAAUUAUGAAAAGUCCUCAAUGUUUCUCAGUGGCAAGAUUACAAGUGGUCAGGCUGCAGCAAUUAAAAAUAUUUUCCAGCUCAAAGUGGUGUCGAAAUAUGAAAAAUAUCUAGGCCUUCCAUCUAUGAUAGGCAGAAGGAAAUCAGGGUUCUUUAAUGAGGUGAAGUUGAAGGUGAUAAGCAAGAUUUCAAGCUGGCGUCAUAAGAUGUUCUCCAGCGGAGGGAAAGAAAUUCUCAUUAAAGCAGUAGCACAGGCAGUACCGGCGUAUGCUAUGAGUGUUUUCAGACUUCCAAAGGGGCUAUGUGAUGAUAUUCAAAGCCAUUGCGAAGUUUUGGUGGGGAUCAAGGGAAGAUAAAUUCGGAAUCCACUGGUCAAGAUGGGACAAAAUGAGCCAAGCAAAAAGUAGAGGAGGGCUGGGAUUCAGAGAUCUUACUAGCUUCAAUCAAGCUUUGGUGGUUAAGCAGGCAUGGAGAUUGCUUCAGCUUCCCAAUUCGUUGCUGGCUAGAGUACUGCAAGCAAAAUACUAUAAGCAUUCUUCAUUCUUGAAUGCCACAGCGGGAUCCAAUCCAUCUUUUAUAUGGAAAAGUAUUCUAUGGGGAAGGCAAGUGAUUGACAAAGGCGCAAGAUGGAGGGUGGGAAAUGGAAGGAAAAUCAGAACUUACAAAGAUAAUUGGCUGCCUAGACCAGACACUUUCAAACCAAUCUCACCUAAAAAAUUGCCAGCUGAAACUAUGGUGGCUGAACUGAUUAAUGAAGAAAAUCAAUGGAUCGUAAGCAAGCUGGAGCAAAACUUUCUACCCCAAGAUAUCGAAGCAAUCCUACAGAUUCCACUCCCUAGAAGCAAAAAAGAAGAUGAAGUGAUGUGGCAUUAUGACAAAAGAGGAGAGUAUUCAGUAAAGAGUGGAUAUCAGAUAGCUCUCAAGCUCAAGGUUCAAGAUUUGCCAAGUAGUUCAGGAAGCUGCUCCAGGCAAUGGAAUGUUUUGUGGUCUUUGGAGUUGCCUGAGAAGAUUAAGAUUUUCAUGUGGAGGGCAAUAAAAAACAUUUUACCAACAACUGAAAAUCUAUGGAAAAGGAAGUGUUUGCCAGAGCCUACCUGUCCAAGAUGCCAGAAGAAUGUGGAAACUAUAAGUCAUGCCCUGUUUGAAUAGACCUGGACUUUAGCCCCAUCCACUUUCGAGCAUCAGAAUGUUCCAGGUCAAGACAUUUUCAGCUAUGUCCAGAAUCUUUGCAGCAAAUCCAGGAGAAAUGAAGCUGAGCUUAUGAUUAUGUAUUGCUGGGCUAUCUGGUAUGCCAGGAAUAAGUUGAUAUUUGAAAGAAAGAAGAUAGAGCCAAUGAUGUCAGCAGCAAAGGCAGAAUCAGUGUUAGAAGCGUUCCAAAGAGUGAGAAAAACAGGACCUCUCCAUAUUAGCAAUACCAGAGAGGAAAGCCAGCAGAGAUGGUCACCACCCCCAAAAAAUGUGCUCAAGCUUAAUGUAGAUGCAGCAACAAGCAGCAAGGAUCAGAAGGUUGGCUUGGGAGCAGUCUUGCGUGACUCAAAUGGCAGAGUAGUAGCAGCAGGCAUCAAGCAAGCUUCUCUCAGGAAGGAUGUCAGUUUUGCAGAAGCUGAAGCUAUCCAAUGGGGUCUCCAGAUUGCAAAAGAUGCAGCUGCAGCAAGCUUGAUUGUAGAGACUGAUUGCAAAGAUGUGGCUGAGCUAGUCAACAACACAAAGGGCAGCAGGUCUGAGAUUUUCUGGAUAAUUUCGGAAAUCCAAACCCAGAAACGAGAUUUCCAAAGGAUCCAAUUUAAUUUUGUACCAAGAUUUUGUAAUGCACAUGCCCAUUCCUUAGCUAAACAUGCUCUAAGGAAAGAUACAACUGCUGUCUGGUUAAAUAUACUACCAGUAGAAGUGCAGAAUGUAUUUGACAGUGUUGUUUAAUCAGUAAUGAAAGGUUUACUUUCUCUUCAAAAAAAAAAAAAAGAGAGUUUAUCUAUAGACUAAAUAGUAAGGAAAGUAUUUGUUUUUGUUUUGUCUCGGCCCAUAGAUAAAAUCCCUAGUGGCAUCCAAUGAAUAAGAGGGCAAAUUGUAUAUUACUCCUUUCAUAAAUUAACUAUUAUCAAAUCGCUUAUUUUUUUUUAUAACUUUAAAUUACCACUAUAUAUAAUUAAAGGAUUAAAAAAAAUAUACGAAUAGGUUGAUGAAUUUUUAUAUUUUUUAAUAAUAAUAAUAAUAAUAAUAAUAAUAAUAAUAAUAAUAGUUUAAAUAAUCAUAAAUUUUGUGGGAAGUAAUCCAAAAUUAACUCUUAAGGAAAUGACUUAUUUAUUUAGUGUUGAAAUGGUGAACGAAAAAAGGUAUGGUUGGCAAUUUGUGGGCAUGGGCCGGGCUUUUCUAGGCCCCACAUUAUUCAAACAAAGCCCAGACCCUUUAAAAGCCGGGCUUGGGCUACGCCUAAGCUUUUUCAUUAAUUAUAAAAUAAUUUUUUUAAUUAAGAAAAAAUAUUUAAAUUAAAUAUAAUUAUCUAAUAUAUAAUAGAAUCAUAGUCCAAUACAUAAAAUAUUAGUAAUACAACCUAAUAAAUAACAAAUACUAAUAUAAAAAAUUAAACUAAUUUAGUUUUUUGAAUUUUUUUUAAUUUAAAUUAAUUUUAUAUUUUAUUUAUAAAUUAAAAAAAACCCGAACCGAUUUAUGCGGUUUUACAUUUUUUGAGCAUAUAUCCAGGCCCAACCCAGGCGGACCGGGCUUUAGGUCCAUGGGCUUGAUGGAUUUUAUGUAUAACGUUAUUAUAAGUCACAAAUCAUAGUAUUAUGAUUGCUCUAGCACACUUUACCUCAAUGCUAUGAUAAUAUUCACUACAUUAGUGUCGAUAUGGUCAUACCUAUUUCUUUUUUUGUUUCAAUUAUAUGUUGAUUUUAUAAUUAUAAGGAUUUCUUUAUGAUACUGUAUGUAUUUUUACAGCAUUGAUAGCGGGAUUAAUGUGGACCAUUAGUUUUAAGUAUUUUAAUCUCAAUCGUCCAUUUAAUAUAAUGGAUAAUUAAAUAAUUAAUGAAAAUGUAGCAGGUAAUUUACAAGUUGCUGGUAAAUAUUUGUUUUUUUAAUUUUAAAUUAAUAUUAAUUUGAGAAAAAGCCACACACACCCCAAGGUUUGUUCAAAUAGUCAUAUAGAUCCACUUAGUUUCAUAAAUGGUAAUAUAGACCCCUUAAUUUUCAUAAAUGACUAUUAUACGUUUUGAUUUAAACAACCUAAAUAAAUAUACAUAUAGUAAUAGGAUAAUAAUAAUAAUAAAUAUCAUAUGAUACAAAUAAAAUAUUAAAAUAAGAAUAAUUAAGAAAAUAACAUGUAUAAUGAAUUUUUUUUAAUAUUAAGUUAUUAUUAAUCUAUCCCGAUGGAUUUAUUAAAAUCUACUAAUCCAAAAAUUGACUUUAAGAUAGAUAUUAAUACAUAUAUAAUUAGAAAAGAUAUUGUAAAUAAAACACUAUAAAUUUUUAUAAAUUGUUGUGAGUGUUAGGUAUAACUAUUUCAAUAUUCUAUAUCAUACAUCAUACUUAAGAUGUUGAUUUUGUGGAAGUGUUAUGCUAUUAAACAUUAAGCUUUGCAUUUAUAAUGUGCUACAACUUUAAUGUAAAAUGUAAUAAAAAAUAUAAAGACAUUUUUUAGUAGUCAAUUGUAUUGUAAUAUGAUCAAAUUACGACAGAGUUAUCAUAUUUUCACUGUUGAAUAUGCAUAUGAUUCUUAUUGAAUACGAAUGUGCAUCAUUACGGCUAGCACAAUUUCAUCAUCAUCAUCAUCUUGCAUCCAUUUUAAAAAAAAUGGAAAUAUAGACCUAAAAUAAGCUAAUGGAGGAAGACCAACAGUCCUGAAAAGUUGUUCCAUAAAUUUAAGCCUACGGUCAUACUUAUUUCUAGACUGACACUCCAAGUAACUUAGGGCAUGUUCAGUAUCAUUUUUUAGCCCCUAUUUUCAUUUUCAUUUUAAUAGUAUAGGUGUAAUAUAUGUUUGGCGAGCCUAAACCUUAAAUCAAAUUAUAAAAUGUAUUAAACAUAAUCUAUUUGACAGUAAUAAAAGUUAAAACAUGUUAAACACAUUCUCUGUAAAUUACAAAACGAAUUAUAAAAUAAUAUACUACAUGUCCUCCAAAGCAUAGCAAAUAAAAUAUAUUUUACAAACACUACUAUAGAAAGACAUAUAAGACAUAUGUUAAGUUAGUAGAGGUGAUUUUUCUUGUAGUCAUUAAGACAUAUGAAUUGAUACCCACACACACACACACAUAUUGAGUACUUCUAUCUACCCCUAUUUAUUAAUAGAAGGGAAAUUAAAAUCGUAAUUACCCCGAUAUAUUAUGAAUUGAUAUGUCACAUAUAAAUAUAAGUGAAAAUUAAUUUUUAAAUUAAUGAAGUAAACCAUAUAUAGGUAUUUUAUUAAUCUAAGGUCAAAUGAAAUAUAUCACAUGACAUUUCAUGUAGUAGUCCAAUUUUUAACACUUGCAUAUAGUUUUGUAAGCUAAUAAGCCAAUGAAAUAUACCACAUGAGAAAUUGAAGGGCUAUUAUUUAUAUUUCACUAUUGGACAAAUAUGGAUCUUCCAAAUCUCUUCCAUGGCCAUAAAUUAGAAUAAAAAAUCACAUAGUAGAGACUACAUCCAUUUGCAUGCUCUCAAAAUAGAUUUUGAAAUUCGUUUUGCAUGCUUUCAAAAUAAAUUUUGAAAUUAGUUUGGUUACAUGAUAAUCAAAUUAUCUUAUAACAUUAAUGAUAUAAUUUAAACACUAUUUUAAUAAUUGUGAGUUUUACAUUAAAUCUUCAAAUUAAUUACAUAUUGUCACUCUUUCUUGUUUUGCUUGAAAUUUCUAUUUAAUAAAAUUACGAAAAUUUGAUAAUGAAUGGUUUAGGAUACAUAGGUAAGAUAAACUUUAAAAGUCUAAUGAAACAUUCCUAUGAAUGUGGGUUUCGUAUGCAUGUUCAUAUAUUUCAUUGAAAUCAUAUAUUUUAUUAAAUUUUGUGUUAUUAAACGAAAUUGUUAUUCAAGUAAAAAAUGUGAGAAUAUUUAAAAUUGUAGGGGUGGUCAUUGAAAUUUCUCAUACUUCUACCAACUCCACGAUCCAACAGUUGGCCCCUUUGUUAAUCGGUUAUGUUAUUUUAAAAAUAAUUAAAUUUUUUUAUUAAUAAAUAUAAUGUGCAUUAUUGAUUAAAUUUGAUGGUUAAUAUUGCUUACAUUAUUAAUGCUGUAAAAAAAUUACAGUAUCAUAGAGGGACCCUAAUUAUAAUGCAUAAUCUUACAUUUAUUUUUUUUUAAAAAUCUUUUGAUAGAUUUUAGUUAAAACUUAAAUAGUUAAAAUCCAGCUCAGCCCAAAUAAGACACUUAAUUGGGCCAAAAAGCUCAUCAUUACCGAGUACAUGGGCUAUCGCAUGCUCAUUCUUUCAAGUAUAUCAAUACACGCGCAAUGUUAUAGCCAUUUGGUAAUUAAUUUCAUUUGAUUUUUGCUGAGGGUCAUUAUAGUAAAAACACUGAUUUAGCAUAUUCAUUUAUGGAAAUUGCAAUUUAGACAUUUUGGUCAAUUAAAUAUUUUCAACCCAUUUUUCUUGUGACAGUUUCAGUCUCUGUUUCAGGUCUUGACGGAUCAAAGCAAGCAGGAGUACGGUUUUGGCUUUAAAACUUUGCGCAGUAUUGUGUUCUGUAUCUGGAGAGGGAUUUAUAAAUGGCAUUGAGGCAGUUUUUUGGUUUUUCUGAUGGUGAGCUGAUGAGGUCGGAUGCAAAGCCUUGUUCCAGACUAAUGAGGCAGACGGCUGGCAUUUUUACUGUUGGAGGAGCACUUGGGUUCUGGGUUCUUUGCAGACUCCAUUAUGGUAUAUUCUACUUUGCUUCUUAUAUUAGUAAUGCCAUCAUGGUAUAUUCUACUUUGCUUCUUAUAUUAGUAAUGCCAUCACUGAUCAUCUGCAUGCAGUUUGUAUGCCUGCUAUGAGAUUCACUCGUUCUUGAUGUUAUCUCUGCAUUGAAAAUAUAGUAAAGUGUAUGCCAAUGCAACAAGGAUUCGAUAUAUUAAAUAAGUGGCUGGGCAUUAUCUUACUGUUUUAAGCUUUUUGUUUUUCUAAAUAGAAUGUAUCAUGUGUGAAGAUGAGCAAUUGUUGUUUGUAUAAGUUGUAUAAGUGUCAGUUUGCUUUUGGAUGUGUUGUAAAUGUUGUUAAUCAUCAUUAAGAAGGCUUUCUGUGUAUAAGCAUGGGUAUUUUAGUUUUUGUAACUGUAAAUCUAACAAGAAAUGACUGACUUGCUUCCCUGAGUUUGUAUUAUGAUAAAAUGCAUCUGUUACUUUUCAUCUUUUUGCCUUUUUCCGGCAUUUUAUCCCUUGUGAUUAAAUUGAAACCAUAAAAUGACUCUCUUAUUUAAGGACAAAAGCUAUAAAAUGACUCUCUUUUCUCCUUUUCUGUGGUUUCAACAUUUGGAUAUAGUCAAUCUAAUAAAAACAGAAAAUAUUUAUGACUCUAUGCUUUUGCAGGUCCUAGAGUUACUGUUCCUAGAAGUCUUCGAUGGGCAGGCUGCGGUGCAGUUUCUGUGAGCUCAACCACCGCUCUGCUGGUUCGCCUAUUUAGUCCUGAAUGUGAGCCUCAGAAUAUAGCUGCUUAUGAUAGGGGAAAGUAGUGAUUAGCUGGCACAUGGACGUUGCACAUUGCUGUCCUAAAUGUUCUAUUAAUACUCUUUACUCGCUAUUUAGCAGUGUCCUUAUUAUCACUAGAUGUCCAGGACUGGGUUUGUGCAAUGCCAUUUUCUCCGCAAACAGAUAUACUCAUUUUUACAGAAAUGCUGACUGUGUACGAGAAUUAUUUUCCUUGGAUAUCCCUUGCUCGUAUAUUAUAUAUGGUUUUUAGGACACAAGAUUAAUAGCUUAACGUGAUCUUCACGUUCUUAGUUGGUAGUAUUUCAUUAUGUUUAGAAGUGCAGUAGUUCAUUAUGUUAAGAAGUAUAUUACUUAUUAUCUCUUUAGCUGUAACGUGUAUAUAAUGUAACACUCAAUAGCAAUACAAUAAGCAGUUCCAUGCAAGCUUAACAUGGUAUCAGAGCCCUCUCUCUCUCUCUAACAAGAGUAAAUCGAUCCUUCUCUUUUUUUUUUUUUUCUCUUUUCUCUCACCAUGGCCACCGAUCCCUCAGCCAUCUCCUCUACCUCACCAGCCAGCCAAAAUCCCCACUCAUCAAAUAACCAAGCUAAUGAUUGUGUUUCAAUCAACGCCGCUGCCCAAUUGCCUAUACGACUUACACCCAAAAAUUAUUUUACAUGGAGAGCGCAAUUCCUCUCUUUAGCUUUUGGCUACAAUCUGACAGGUUACAUUGAUGGCACAUCUGAGUGCCCUUCUCCGUAUCAAACUGGCAGUAGUAAUAGUCCGCCUACCAUCAACACAACCUAUACCUUAUGGAAACACCAAGAUCAGUUGAUCUUUCAUUCCAUCCUAGCCUCCUACACCGAAAGAGUUGCCCCACUCAUAGCUAGUUCCACAACAUCCAAGCAAGCGUGGGAUAAGCUUGCACGGCUAUACUCCAAUCGUAGCCGUAGUCGCGUUAUCUCUCUUAGAGAACGACUUGCACGACCUCGUCGUGAUGGACAACCUGUUGCCGAAUAUUUAAAUAACUUACAUUCUAUUUCUGAUGAAAUUACUUUGAUUGAUAUUCCUGUUACAGAUGAUGAUCUCGUGGUACAAAUUAUUAAUGGCGUAGGCAAAGAUUUCAAAGAAAUUAUUGCUGGUGUUCGGAUCUGUGAGACACCACUUUCUUUUGACGAGUUGUAUGAAAAGCUUGUAGAUUACGAAGAUAUGUUGAAGCGAGAGGAAAAAUCCAUAGACAUGGCUAUCACUGUCAAUGCCGCAGUCAAACAGCAGACAACAAACCAUGGACCUUAUCAGAACCAGAGAAGAGACAGCAAUCUGGGAUUUAAUAAUGGUCCUAACCGUGGGUAUCCAAAUCAAAAUAGCAACAACAGAAAUUACCAAUCUCAGAAUCACAACCCACAAGGCCAGUAUCGCAACAAUGGAGGAUAUCAAAAGAAGCAGCCCACCGGGUACCAGGGCUACUGUCAACUUUGCGGUACCAAGGGCCAUACAGCACGAGAUUGUCCAGAUUUUACCUCCCACAAAAACAGUCCGACUAUGAACCACACAGCAACCACAGGCACAUCCAACCCCAAUUGGUUAGUCGACAGCGCCGCCUCACAUCAUGUUACAGGAGAUCUCCGAAAUUUGAGCACUCAUAGUCCUUACCAUGGUUCUGAUUCCGUCAUUGUUGGUAAUGGCAUGGGUCUUGGUAUAUCUCACACUGGCUCAACUUCCUUAUGUACCUCUAACUCAAAAUUUUAUUUGCAAAAUAUUCUUUAUGUUCCGACUAUCAACAGAAAUUUAAUCUCCGUGUCUCAAUUUUGCAAUGUUAAUGAAGCCUCCAUUGAAUUCUUUCGUGAUCAUUUUCAGGUGAAGGAUUUGAGCACGGGGGCGGUCCUCUUGCAAGGCCGGAAUAAUCAGGGUGUAUAUGAGUGGCCGGCAACUUCUUCUUUCCCCGUACCAGCCUUGCCGACUUCAAAUGCUACAAUAAAAACUGAUGCCGCUCACUGGCAUCAGCGUCUAGGCCAUCCGUCUAGGGAUAUUUUGAAAUUUGUUCUUCGUACCUUGAAUUUGUCUUCGCACUUGGAUUUUGAGUCUUGUGAGUCUUGUUUAUGCAAUAAGAGCCAUCGGCUCCCUUUUGGCAAAUCUUCUUUAUGUAGUACUCGUCCCUUGGAUUUAAUAUAUUCUGAUGUUUGGGGUCCUGCCCUUGUUACUUCCUUUGAUAAUUAUAAGUACUACGUGUUUUUCGUUGAUCAUUUUACUAAGUAUGUCUGGUUUUUUUCCGUUACGGCUAAAAUCUGAUGUUUUCUCUACAUUUGUUCGUUUUAAAACACUUGUUGAAAAUUAUUUUCGUACUACUAUUCGUAAUAUUUACACCGAUGGUGGUGGUGAGUUCCUCAAACUCACCUCAUUUUUUCAACAGACGGGCAUUAAUCACAAGCUUACACCACCCUACACACCACAACAUAAUGGAGUCGCCGAACGUCGUCAUCGACAUAUUGUUGAGACGGGGUUGGCGUUACUUCAUCAAGCCUCGCUACCUCCUAGCUUUUGGACGUUUGCGUUUCAAACCGCCGCCUACUUAAUUAAUCGUCUACCAUCCAAAACUACAUCCAUGACCUGUCCUUUCCAGCUCUUAUUUGAUGCCCAUCCUAAUUAUGCUACUCUAUGUGUAUUUAGGUGUCUUUGUUUCCCGUGGUUACGCCCAUAUAUGCGCAACAAACUAGAGCCUAGGUCCAAGCCUUGUGUGUUUCUCGGUUAUUGCCUACAACAAAGUGCAUACAAAUGUUUAGAUGUUCAGUCUGGUAAGAUUUAUGUUUCCCAUGAUGUUCAAUUUAUUGAAUCUUAGUUUCCUUAUCAAUCUCUCACAUCUACUGCCUUUCCCUCUUCUGUUUCACUCACCUCCUGGUUUCCAUCCAUUUUUUCAGUCCCGGUUUUGUCGGCUCACUCCUCUUCUCCUAGUGGUUCCCGUCUUGCAACUUCGGAUUCGCUUCCUGCUAGCUCCGAUUCUUCACUGGCCUCUUCCACAUCUACUUCAGGUAUUAUUCAUAACCCUCAUACUUAUGACUCUUUACCUCCCCAUGUCCAUGCACCAGUACUAACUCCCUCAUCUCUCAUCUCCAAUCUUUCAUCACCAGCCCCAUCUACUUUCCCGUCGUCACCAACAGUCCCAUCACCGUCACCACCAACACCUCCACCUCCACUGCCGACCCGAACCCAUCCAAUGAUAACCCGGUCACGCAAUAACAUUUAUAAACCAAAACGGCUUGACCACACUACCCUCGCUCCUAUUAUUUCCACACAUUCGCUGCCCUCUACUGUUGAACCAACUAGUAUUAAGGCUGCCCUUGCCGAUCCGCAAUGGCUUCAGGCCAUGCGUAUUGAAUAUAAUGCUCUUAUUUCUAAUCAUACUUGGGAUCUUGUUCCUCCUGUACCUUCUCAAAAUUUGGUUGGUUGUAAGUGGGUGUUUCUUGUCAAACGCCACCCCGAUGGUUCUGUUGACAGGUAUAAAGCGCGGCUGGUUGCUAAGGGCUUUACUCAGCGUCCUGGUCUCGACUACCACGAUACCUUCAGCCCUGUUGUCAAGACUGCUACUGUUCGUGUUAUUCUUUGCUUAGCCUUGCAAUUUGGUUGGCCGAUUCGUCAGUUGGAUAUCAAUAACGCCUUCCUCAAUGGUUCUCUUGACGAGGAAGUUUACAUGAAGCAGCCGCCUGGUUUCAUUGACUCUAACCGACCUUCCUUUGUUUGUAGGUUACGCAAGUCUCUGUAUGGCCUUAAGCAGGCGCCUCGUGCAUGGUUUACUACUCUGCACAAAUUCUUGCUGUCCUAUGGAUUCCGCCAAAGCAAGACUGAUGCUUCUCUUUUUCUUUAUCACCGUGAUGGUCAUCGUAUUUAUUUUCUUGUCUAUGUGGAUGACUUAAUUAUUACUGGUUCUCGUGGCCGGGUCAUUCAGCACUUCAUUCAUCGUCUUGCUUCCACUUUUGCUCUCAAGGACCUUGGCUCUCUGCAUCAUUUUCUCGGGCUUGAGUUGCUUCGCACUCCGUCUGGUGUGUUUCUCUCUUAGCAUCACUAUGUUCGUUCUCUCUUGGACCGGUUUGGCAUGACUGAUGCUAAACCUAUUGCCACUCCUCUGUCUGCCACCAUUGGUCUUCAACAAACCGAUGGUUCUGUCUCUGUUGAUGGUACGUCUUAUCGUCAGCUUCUUGGUGCCUUGCAAUAUCUCACUCUCACUCGUCCUGAGAUCUGCUUUGCGGUCAACAAACUAUCUCAGUUCAUGCAAAGUCCCUCUCAGUUGCAUUGGCAGGCUGCCAAGCGCAUACUCCGUUACUUGAAAGCUACAAUUUUUCAUGGCCUUUUUCUUCGUCAGUCCUCAUCCUCUACACUUGCUGCUUAUAGUGAUUCUGACUGGGGGGGGGGCAAUCUUGAUGAUCGCAGCUCUACGAGUGCUUACGCUAUCUUCCUUGGUGGCAAUCUGUGGCACGUUCCUCUACUGAAGCCGAGUUUUGCGCCAUUGCUGCUACCGUUUCUGAGCUUUGUUGGCUUCGACACUUGUUCUCAGAACUUAGCAUUCGGACUCCUAUGCCCAAGCUGCUCUGUGACAAUCUUGGUGCCACUCAUGUUUGCACAAAUCCUAGAUAUCACUCUCGUAUGAAGCAUGUGGAAAUUGACUUUUAUUUUGUUCGUGAUAAGAUUACGCAAGGUUUACUGUCUGUUGCUCAUGUUCCUUCUGAGCAUCAGCUCGCUGAUAUCUUAACCAAGCCGCUUCCCCGGCUUCCCCUUGAGCAUGCACGGUCCAAGCUCAGUGUUCUCGACGGUACACCUCUCUUGCGGGGGCGUAAUAGCUUAACGUGAUCUUCAUGUUCUUAGUUGGUAGUAUUUCAUUAUGUUUAGAAGUGCAGUAGUUCAUUAUGUUAAGAAGUAUAUUACUUAUUAUCUCUUUAGCUGUAACGUGUAUAUAAUGUAACACUCAAUAGCAAUACAAUAAGCAGUUCCAUGCAAGCUUAACAAAGAUAUGACUAUAUUUAAAAAAAUAUUUUUUUGAUAUUUAAUUCACGCAUCUAAUAAAGCUUGAAUUUAGCACUUGAGUUUUAGGAAAUUAACUUUGUAUUGGUAAUUUCUAGUAUUUUUGUUAAAAAUUUUGAAAUAAUUACAAUAUUGCUUGACGACAAAUCCAAUAAUGCUUUUUAUCAUGUAAGCAUGGUUUGAACCUCAAAUCUUUGAUUCUAUCCCAAAAAUUAAUCGAAUCUGUUAAUUAGUCAAGAGUUAUUGAGCCUUUGGCUCGAUACUAAUUGCUCUCAACUUCAAGGUACGAGUUCAAGUUCCAGCCUCUGGGAGACUCAAAUUUUCCCUCCCAAUUAUAUAAUUGGAUAUCCUUUCAAUAUUGGUGGCAGCAGGUAUAUAUUUGGGCUAUGAUAUAAUUGAAUAGAUCUAGGGAAGUCCCAGAUGAUUUCUAGUGAGGACAUGUAUAUCUAGAUUAUGAUUGAAUUCUAUAUGUAUACGUAAAUAUUAGUAGACUUUGAUUGAUAUGAUUUCUAUACGUAUACGUAAAUAUUAGUAGACUUUUGGUUGAUAUUUUAAUCACUCAUCUAUAAAUUCCAACCUAUAUGUCUUUUUUUAUCAUCACAACAACCACAGCAUGGAUACUAUUGGAGCUGAUACUAAAAUAUCCAAUACCUACUUGCCUGAAAAGCCUGAACUUUCACCAACUUUGAUUUCAGACACUGAACUCCUAUCUGAAUUCUCACACCAUGUCCAAAACAUAGCUAGAAUCAAUAAUGGAAGCUUUGGUUGUUGCCCGAAGAGUGUUAUAUCAGCACAGCAGAAGUGGCAACUUGAGUUCCUCAAACAACCUGAUGACUUUUACUUCAAUCGGCUGAAAGAUGAGAUUUUGAAAUCCAGACUUGUGAUCAGAGACUUGGUCAAUGCUGACCAUGUUGAUGAAAUAUCAAUUGUUGAUAAUGCCACCACUGCUACAGCCAUUGUGUUGCAGAGUGUUGCUUGGGAAUUUUUGCAAGGGAAGUUUAACAAAGGUGAUGCUGUUGUCAUGCUUCAAUAUGCUUAUGGCGCUGUGAAAAAAUCUCUGGAAGCAUAUGUUACGCGUGCAGGUGGGUAUGUUAUUGAAGCUUGGUUUCUAUUUCCUGUUAAUUCUGAUGGUGAGAUUGUCAGUGAGUUUCGGAAAGCUUUAGAAAGAGGGAAAGCCAAUGGUAGGAAAGUCAGAUUGGCUAUGAUUGAUCAUGUGACGUCUAUUCCUAGUGUUCCGAUUCCGGUUAAAGAAUUGAUCAAGAUUUGUCGGGAAGAGGGUGUCGAUAAAGUAUUUGUUGAUGGUGCACAGGGGAUUGGGUGUGUUGAUGUUGACAUGAAAGAAAUUGGGGCUGAUUUUUACACUGGUACUUUGAACAAGUGGGUUUUUUGCCCGCCUGGGGCAGCGUUUUUGUAUUGUAGGAAAUCAAAUGAAAUUGAUGAUUUGCAUCACCCUGUGGUGUCUCAUGAGUAUGGAAAUGGGUUGGCUAUCGAGAGUGCUUGGAUUGGAACUAGGGAUUAUAGUGCCCAACUGGUGGUUCCUCAAGCUUUGGAGUUUGUUAACAGAUUUGAAGGGGGAAUUGAAGGAAUCAAGAAGAGGAAUCAUAAAGCUGUUGUUGAGAUGGGGGAGAUGUUGGCAAAAGCAUGGGGAACCCAUCUUGGGUCUCCUCCGGAGAUGUGUUCAAGCAUGAUCAUGGUUGGCUUGCCUGCUAUUUUGGGUAUUUCUAGUGAUUCCAUUGCUUUAAAGUUGAGAACCCACUUGAGGAAUAAUUUUUCUGUUGAAGUACCUAUCUAUUAUAGGG
rnacentral:lncRNA from 1 species